GGACACUUCAGAAUGGAAAAGCUGCCGAUUUAGUUCCCCAACCACCACAAACGUCUGAAUCAACUCCAAACUUGACACCACAAGAAAAAAAUAUUUCUUCAACGGCUCGCAGUGCUUGGGGUAAAUGUUUCUUAAUCUUGAAAUAAAUUUGUU